ensembl:lncRNA TAPT1-AS1 TAPT1 antisense RNA 1 (head to head)
GCCCGGCUCCAGAUCACCGACCCCCACGAGCGCCGGCCCUGCCUGCCCGCUAUUUUGGUUCCAUCUCUUCUGCAUAUUUAUGCUUGCCUGUUACAUUCCCUGGCCUCUGAGUGUCCUUUGGCAGUUUCCAAAGCAUUUGGGCAAGAAGGAGCUUGGGCAGCUUCACAACAGGUUUAUUGGGCACUUCCUAGCACCAGGCACUGCAAUAAGAAAUGGAGGUUAAACCAUGAAGAAACAUGGCUCUAGCCCUUAGGGAGCUCCCGGUCCUGCAGACCCCACAUAUAGGAACCAUCGGAUCCCUGUGUACAGAUGAAGAACUGAGUCUUGGAAAGCUUAACUACCUUGCUCACAGUCACACGUUAAGGUCUAAAGUGAGAAAUUAAACCAAGUCUUCCAAUCUCAAAGACUUUAAAGGAAAAGCUACAAGCUACAAGAAUAAAGAAGUUCUUCAUGUAUAUUUAUGGGAAAAUUGCUAAGGUGUAGUCUCAAGUCCUAAAAAAGCAAAGUUCA